AAUUAUUUUGCACAUACCUGCAAUUAUCAAAUGUGUCAAGCAUUUAGAAAUCAUUUAGAUAAGUAUCGAGUAUAAAAGAUCUUGCACUCAAAAGCAACAUGAAAAUUGUCCAUUCAUAAUUAAAUUAUAAGAGAACCAAAUUACAUAUAAGAAAAUACAACAAAUACAACCUUUAAUGAUCAAUUGUAACUUUGACUCCUAAUAAUUUUGUAUUAAUA
rnacentral:misc_RNA from 1 species